CCCUUAGAUGUUCUGGGCCGCACGCGCGCUACACUGACGAAGUCAGCGAGCAUGUCCUAUGCCGACAGGUGCGGGGAAUCUUGUCAAACUUCGUCGUGAUGGGGAUUGAUUAUUGAAAUUCUUGAUCAUCAACGAGGAAUUCCUAGUAAGCGCAAGUCAGCAGCUUGCGUUGAUUACGUCCCUGCCCUUUGUACACACCGCCCGUCGCUACUACCGAUUGAACGGUUUAGUGAGGGCCUCGGAUUGGUCUCGGCCCGCUCUUUACCGGGCGGCGCCGUUGGUCGAGAAGACGCUCGAACUUGAUCGUUUAGAGGAAGUAAAAGUCGUAACA
rnacentral:rRNA from 1 species